GUCUACAUAGAGGAGAUAUAUGUGGUCCGGCCUGCUCACUGAGCCAGGAGACUUAAAGAGCCGCGGUAUUUUGACCGUGCAAAGGUAGCAUAAUCAUUAGUUCUUUAAUUGGGAACUUGUAUGAAUGGUUAAACAAAAGAAAUACUGUCUCUAUUUCUAAAAUUUGAAUUUAACUUUUAAGUGAAAAGGCUUAAAUUACUCAAGGGGACGAUAAGACCCUAUAAAGCUUUAUAAAUAACUAGGGAUUUUUUGGGUUAUAAAGAUAAAAAAGAAUGCUAGAAGUUUAUUAUGUUGGGGCGACACGGAUAUAGAUUAAAGCAACUAUCAGGAAAAAACACAAUAAUUUUUGAAUUUUAUGAUCCUAAUUAAAGAUUAUAAGACUAAGUUACUUUAGGGAUAACAGCGUAAUUCUUUUUGAGAGUUCAUAUCGAAAAAAGAGUUUGCGACCUCGAUGUUGAAUCAUAAAAUCUUUAUAGUGCAGCAGUUAUAAAAGAGGGUCUGUUCGACCUUUAAAAUUUUACGUGAUUUGAGUUCAAACCGGUGUAAG
rnacentral:rRNA from 1 species